AAAACAUAGCUUAUAGAUAUAAUUAUAAGUGUUUUUUGCUCUAUGAAGGAAAUUAAAUGGCCGCAGUACUUUGACUGUGCUAAGGUAGCAAAAUAAAUUGACUUUUAAUUGGGGCCCAGUAUGAAAGAGUAUAUGAAUCAGAAACUUUAUUUAGUAGUGCUUUAUGAAUUUACUCAAUUGGUGCAAAUUCCAAUUACUAAAUAUUAGACGAGAAGACCCUUAGAAUUUUGAUUAAAAUUAAUAUUUUUAUUUUGUUUUUGUUGGGGCGACAUAAUGACAAAAUAAAAACUCAUUUUAAUAAGACAAGUCUAUUUAUUAUAUGUAAGAAUAAAUUACCUGAGGGAUAACAGCAUAAUUAUUUUUUAGUUUGUGACCUCGAUGUUGGAUUAGGGUUAAUUAGGAUUAGAAAUUCUUUUUGUUGCUUCUGUUCGAAGUUUUCUCCCUACGUGAUCU
rnacentral:rRNA from 1 species